UCCCGGCUAGCUCAGUCGGUAGAGCGUCAGACUCUUAAUACGAGAGCCUCCAAGUAUACCUUGGGUACAUCUGAAUGUCGAGGGUUCGAGCCCCUCGUUGGGAG